UAAAGGUAAAAAACUGAGUGAUGGAGAGCACUUAAUUGUGUUUGUUGGGAUGCAUUGAUUUGAUGUCUUUACAGGAUAUCAAAUCCUCCACUCACAUCAGAUAUCCACUAACAGCUUGGGACAAAGCAGUGCUGCCUAUUGUCUUGUAUAUGUGGCCAACUUUGUGCCUUAAGUGUGGACUUGUGUGCGAGUGUGUGUGUUUCAAAAGUAGGACAGCAAUGGUAUAAGCUAGUGAAAGCAAGUAGCCAUCUCCAAGACUCCUCCUGCUCUUUAAGUAGUUUGAGUAAGAACAAGCAGAGUUAGGACUUUUUGACCAACUAAAUGGUAUAGAAUAGAACUGAGGUUGGGGACAGGGACAGUAGUUUCUUUAUAAUUGAUGAUUAAACACUCGGAGAGUCCAAGUUACUUCUUCAAAACAGCGUCACCUAUUGCACUCACCCCUUCCACCCCUGCACUCUGGUAAAUGGGACUCAUAACCCCUCUGGCUUGUGCUUGUUAACCCUGACUGCAGCGACUCAGUACACGAGGGAGAGCACUGAAUGCUUUGGCAAGUACGUUUAAAUUUUUCAUUUAAUUUUUUGCAUAGGUAAUUUAUGUAGUUCAAAGGUACAAAGGCUAUAUAAUGAAAAAUCAUUCAGCUCCCCUCCCUAGAGGCAACCAGUGUUUUGAGUAUCCUACAGAUAAUCUGCUUACACAGACACACACACAUUUUUUUUGCCCUUUUUAAAACAAACGACAGCAAAUUGUGUAGAUAAUUCCUGUACUUUCUUCUCUUAUUGUAUUUUCAAGAAUGUUUCAAAUCAGGCACAUGAUCCAUUUGUGGCCAAUGAAUGAGACUUGGUUUAGACCUUGCAAGAGAGGAGGGAUGUUUCCUCUACAUCUAAUGCUGGGGAGGUUCACGUUUAUAGAUGCUAAAGACAUUUUUUAUUCAUUCAUUCAUUCAUUCAUUCAUUCAUUUGCCAAGUAUUUGGUAAGCACCCACUUUACUACAAGAAGAGAAAUGUAAAGAUAAUAGACGAAGAGGAGCAGCCAAGUUGAGAGAGAGA